GAUGAAGAACGCAGCGAAAUGCGAUACGUAGUGUGAAUUGCAGAAUUCCGUGAACCAUCGAAUCUUUGAACGCACAUUGCGCCCGCCAGCAUUCUGGCGGGCAUGCCUGUUCGAGCGUCAUUUCAACCCUCGAGCCCCCCCGGGGGCCUCGGUGUUGGGGGACGGCACACCAGCCGCCCCCGAAAUGCAGUGGCGACCCCGCCGCAGCCUCCCCUGCGUAGUAGCACACACCUCGCACCGGAGCGCGGAGGCGGUCACGCCGUAAAACGCCCAACUUUCUUAGAGUUGACCUCGGAUCAGGUAGGAAUACCCGCUGAACUUAAGCAUAUCAAUAAGCGGAGGA
rnacentral:misc_RNA from 1 species